GGGAACGUGGCUCAGAGGUAGAGUGCAUGCCUUGCAAGCAUGAGGCCCUGGGUUGGAUUCCUCAGCGCCA
rfam:Dipodomys ordii contig_42440, whole genome shotgun sequence.